GCCGAUAUAGCUCAGAGGUAGAGCGCUUCCAUGGUAAGGAAGGGGUCGUCGGUUCAAAUCCGACUAUCGGCU
rnacentral:tRNA from 1 species